CCAGUUCUAACCCUAGAUCUCCUCUUUCAAUUCCUUCUAGAGUAACAAGGUAAUUAUUGGCCAAAUAAUUAAUCAAUACGCACAAGACAAGAUAAAUAAUUCACUUUGACAUAAAUAAUUAGAAUAAAUUGAAUAACUAAUUUAUAGCCAUAAAAGGUUCAAUUGGAAUCUUAAUUAAAGAAUUAGUUCAUAACAGAAAUUAAAACCAACAAUCUUUUGCAAAACAUUCCUAAGGAAUUACACAAAUUGAAAAUAAGGAGAAGAAGAAAAACUCUAGAGUCAAUCCUUCAAUCUUCAAGUAAUCCCUUGCUUAGUCUUCAAUUGUGAUCGAUUCCCUUUUAAUUCAGCAAAAUAAACUUUAUAUACUCUCCUCAUCUCACCACAAUCCUUUCUCAAAUCAACUUCUCAAUUAAGUCUUCUAGUCCACGUCAAAUUUCAAUCCACGCGCCCACCUGGUCAACCUUAGCCGGGCCUCAGCGCCCUAGCGCUGCGUGUAGUAUUAGGACUAGCGCCCCGGCGCUGGACUUCUCUUUAAUUACAAAAAUGCCAUUAAACAGCUAAAACUCCCCAAAUUUGCCCCUACAGCUCCCGAAUCUGCAAAAUAACCACUAAACAAAGUAAAAAUUGUGGCGACCCCAAAUCCGGAUACUUGAAACCCGAACUCGGUUCUCCACGAUACCAUUUCUUUAAGCUGAAUAAUAAUAAAUAAUAAUAUAAUUCGAACUUAAUUUACAUACAUCAAAGUUUACUUUCACAGGUACGUGACCUUCAAAUACAUUCCUUACAAUACCUGACAAUAGAUUCCAUUGUCUUACUAACUAUAACCAUUAACUCAUACUAAAUCUCAUUCGAAUAGCUUUUCUUUUCCCUUGUUCGUGCCUGAGCCUUCAGGUCGAUCGUACGUAACUGAAAACAUUUAGUUUAAGCAAGGAUGAGCAUUUGAGUGCCCAGCAAGUAAUAGCAAUUAUAUAUAUAAGCUGAAAGAAUAUAAGUAUUCUCUUUACAUAACACUUCUACAACGAAUCAAAAGUUGUGAAGUAAUCUGUACUGAUAAAAGAUUCACAUAACAACUCUCUUUCAAUUUCUUGAAAUUAGGCUCCACCCAUGAAUAGGGUUUAAGAAACAUACUAUGAACAUUGUUUUUC
rnacentral:lncRNA from 1 species